GGGUGCCCUGGGCAAUUCUCAGAGGCAUACCCAGUAGAGGUGAACUUGGCUGCCACACACAGUGACUCAGCAAUUUACCAGGAGAGAAUGUGGAGAGAUGAGAAGGAUUUUUCAUCCUAGGUUUGGAUAUCAACUACCAAUAGUUGACUGGAUGGUCUUUGGGUGACUGAAACUCAGUAUCUGCAGAGAGUCUACAUUUCUCCUCACAGAGGUUUGCAUCUAUGGAGACAGUUUGGAAACCUCAAGCAUUAGGAUACUUAUGCUGCUUUUCUCAACACAUUCUGCGAAAGGACACAGUCCAGACCAAGGUCAUGCAAGUGAGAAAAAUAAGAACCAGAAACUAAAAGAAACUAUAAAGCCUGAUUACGGAUUUUUAAAUUAAAUGUAUUGUUCAGAUUAAUCUGUUCAGAAUCCUUUUUAACAUUUAGAAUUCAAUCAUGUAUAAAUUACCAUGGAUAUUAUGGUUCCUGAUUAUAAUGUGAUAUAUAUUCAAUACUAGAUUCAGAAUAACAGGCAAAGCCUUACAGAAAAGGAAUGUAAAUGAGUGUGUGGAUGGUACCCACUGUAGUCUUACACCUAUCUUCAUAGCCUGGAAGGAUGAGAUUACAUUUCUCUCUGGGAUAUUCUAACCCAAUAUCUCUCAUAAAUAGUUGUAUUUUUAUUCUUCGGACUUAAAUUUCGGCAUGUUGAGUUUAAAUAUGGCUCAGUCGGCUGAGUGUCCAACUUCGACCUUGGUCAUGAUCUC